rnacentral:rRNA from 1 species
UACGUAGGGACCAAGCGUUGUUCGGAUUUACUGGGCGUAAAGGGCGCGUAGGCGGCAAUUCAAGUCAUCUGUGAAAUCUCCGGGCUUAACUCGGAACGGUCAGGUGAUACUGCUUUGCUAGAGUGCAGAAGGGGCAAUCGGAAUUCCUGGUGUAGCGGUGAAAUGCGCAGAUAUCAGGAGGAACACCGGUGGCGAAGGCGGCACUCUGGGCCGGUACUGACGCUGAGGAGCGAAAGCGUGGGGAGCGAACAGG